rnacentral:lncRNA from 1 species
AUGACAUGUAUCACCUGUGAUCACCUGUGGCCACAAAGGUUUCAUUCAGGUUCAAAUGAGUACAACGCGGAUGAAGGGUUAGAAGUUACAAGGAGAUGCAUUUCUAGCAAGUGUGAGGGGACCCUUUGUCGGUGGAAGAUGGAAGGAAUGAGCAGCACACGAGACCAUCUCUUGACCAGUAAGCUCACACACCGGGAGGUCAGAAUGACUACAUGUUACCACAUGGGAAGCCAGGAUUCUGCGGAAUCCGCUGAAUGGCUACUCGUCAUUGGACACUUUGGCAAUCAAAAGAAUGCAGCCUAGACCUGAGAUCCAGAGCCUGAACCCCAUGAAGAGUGUCACAGGGGCAUUUCUUAAUGACAUGUAGUUCCUUGCCCCCUCCGUCUCAACGUUUCCAUCCGAAAAUUGGGAACUUGUUCCUGCUCAGCACUUCGUAAAGGAAUGCAGGACAUAGCAUGCCUUUUAUCCAUUCGUGGAGGAGAUGUUCUAUUACAGCAGAGGCAUUUUGCUUUCUUAAACUUGAUUUGGGGGAGUGGAUAUUUAUAUGUAAUCAUUGUAAUGGCAUUUUGAUACUCUCCGGGAAAAAGAAAGUAGUUGAGUGUUGUGUCUACGUGGAAGUGAAAUACCUCGGUUAUGAUUCCUUUUAUUUUUUUAAUCAAUAAACUAGAGGAAAAGGGAAAUGGAGCUUUAUUU